rnacentral:lncRNA from 1 species
UAAAAGACAAGAAAUGAUCACAUUGGUAUUUUAACGGUGUUAUUGUAAGAGUUUAAAUGUUUAAACAGAGGAUACAUCUAAAACAGGAUAAAACAAGUGCAGUAUGUUGUGAGAAUGUUACUUUAACGUCGACUCAUAACGUCACACUAUAACGUCAUGGGAGUCUUGUGGAAAGACUAACGGUGUUAUUGUAAGAGGUCAUGGGUCAAGGUCCUCACAAUUAUAGGAAGAUGCGCAUGUGUGUGUGUGAGAGUGUGUCCUGUGUGUGUGUAUGUGUCCUUGUGUGUGUGUGUGUGUCCAGUGUGUGUGAGUCCAGUGUGUGUGAGUCCAGUGUGUGUGUGUGUGUGAGUCCAGUGUGUGUGUGUGUGUGUGUUUGUCCAGUGUGUGUGUGUGUUUGUCCAG